GCAAAAGCGGCGCCAGGAAAUUGAACAAAAACUUGAAGUUCAGGCAGAAGAAGAGAGAAAGCAGGUUGAAAAUGAAAGGAGAGAACUGUUUGAAGAGAGGCGUGCUAAACAGACAGAACUGCGGCUUUUGGAACAGAAAGUUGAGCUUGCGCAGCUGGUGAGUGGUAAUUUGGAGUUCUAAGAUUGGUAAUCCUUUGAGUUUACAAAAGCACUGACCUUUUACCUUUUCUUUAGCAAGAAGAAUGGAAUGAACAUAAUGCCAAAAUAAUUAAAUAUAUAAGAACUAAGACAAAGCCCCAUUUGUUUUAUAUUCCUGGAAGAAUGUGUCCAGCUACCCAAAAACUAAUAGAAGAGUCACAGAGAAAAAUGAACGCUUUAUUUGAAGGUAGACGCAUCGAAUUUGCAGAACAAAUAAAUAAAAUGGAGGCUAGGCCUAGAAGACAAUCAAUGAAGGAAAAAGAGCAUCAGGUGGUGCGUAAUGAAGAACAGAAGGCGGAACAAGAAGAGGGUAAGGUGGCUCAGCGAGAGGAAGAGUUGGAGGAGACAGCUUUUAACACUAGAUACUGCACGUGAUUAGAAUGUUUUUGAAGGUUUCCUCGUUUUUAUUUGCCUCGGACAAUUUUUAGUUGUCAGAGUCAGAGCUUUGCAGCUUUGAGGGGGAACAGUUCUCUUUAAAAUCAUUUGCUAUUUUCUGUUCUCUCUCGUUAUUUUAAUCUAAGCAUUUUCCCCCGUUUCUCAUAUUUUAACCAUAUGUUCGGUAGAUAACUAAACAGUAUGAUCUGGUUGGCAUUUUCUUCCUGAUGAUGGGAGCAUCAUUCUUUUGUCUUCAUGGUUACUUGUGUGAUAUACAUCUGUUAAAGAAAAUCACUUCUUUCUAGGGGAGGGAGGUAGAAAAGUAUCUUUCAAACUUGGUUUUUGAGUUUGUGUCUUGUCUUAACUUUGUGUUGGCUCUAACUUAAACAUGCUGAUAUGUGUUUUCAAGAA
rnacentral:sRNA from 1 species